GCACCAACAUCAACAGGGUCACCAAGGACCUCGCUGACAUAAACACCCACAACAGGGAAGAAGGGAAGUAGUAUUGAAGGAAUGUGUCUUUCUGCCAGUUGAGAGAUUUAAGGGAUAGAGGGGACAGAGUCUAGAUACAGAGUAACAAAACAAACACAGAAUGGUUACAGUUUGACAUUUUAUUCAUUAUUCUUUUUU